UACGGAGGGUGCAAGCGUUGUCCGGAAUCACUGGGCGUAAAGCGCACGUAGGCGGCUUGUUAAGUCAGGGGUGAAAUCCUGGAGCUCAACUCCAGAACUGCCUUUGAUACUGGCGAUCUCGAGUCCGGGAGAGGUGAGUGGAACUGCGAGUGUAGAGGUGAAAUUCGUAGAUAUUCGCAAGAACACCAGUGGCGAAGGCGGCUCACUGGCCCGGUACUGACGCUGAGGUGCGAAAGCGUGGGGAGCAAACAGG
rnacentral:rRNA from 1 species